AGUGAAUGCUGGCGGCAGGCCUAAUACAUGCAAGUCCAACGGCAGCACAGCAGAGCUUGCUCUGUGGGUGGCGAGUGGCGGACGGGUGAGGAAUACAUGGGAAUCUGCCCAGUCGUGGGGGAUAACGUAUGGAAACGUACGCUAAUACCGCAUGCGCCCUUUGGGGGAAAGCCGGGGACCUUCGGGCCUGGCGCGAUUGGAUGAGCCCAUGUUCGAUUAGCUAGUUGGCGGGGUAAAGGCCCACCAAGGCGACGAUCGAUAGCUGGUCUGAGAGGAUGAUCAGCCACACUGGGACUGAGACACGGCCCAGACUCCUACGGGAGGCAGCAGUAGGGAAUAUUGGACAAUGGGCGCAAGCCUGAUCCAGCCAUGCCGCGUGAGUGAAGAAGGCCCUCGGGUUGUAAAGCUCUUUUGUCCGGAAAGAAAAGCAUUCGGUUAAUACCCGGGUGUUCUGACGGUACCGGAAGAAUAAGCACCGGCUAACUUCGUG
rnacentral:rRNA from 1 species